rnacentral:rRNA from 1 species
GUGCCAGCAGCCGCGGUAAUACGUAGGGUGCAAGCGUUGUCCGGAAUUAUUGGGCGUAAAGAGCUCGUAGGCGGUUUGUCACGUCUGCUGUGAAAAUCCAAGGCUCAACCUUGGACUUGCAGUGGGUACGGGCAGGCUCGAGUGCGGUAGGGGAGAUGGGAAUUCCUGGUGUAGCGGUGGAAUGCGCAGAUAUCAGGAGGAACACCAAUGGCGAAGGCACAUCUCUGGGCCGUAACUGACGCUGAGGAGCGAAAGCGUGGGGAGCGAACAGGAUUAGAUACCCUGGUAGUCCACGCCGUAAACGUUGGGCACUAGGUGUGGGUCUCAACCAACGAGAUCCGCGCCGUCGCUAACGCAUUAAGUGCCCCGCCUGGGGAGUACGGUCGCAAGGCUAAAACUCAAAGGAAUUGACGGGGGCCCGCACAAGCGGCGGAGCAUGCGGAUUAAUUCGAUGCAACGCGAAGAACCUUACCAAGGCUUGACAUAUAGAGGAAAAGUGCAGAAAUGCACUCCCCGCAAGGUCUCUAUACAGGUGGUGCAUGGUUGUCGUCAGCUCGUGUCGUGAGAUGUUGGGUUAAGUCCCGCAACGAGCGCAACCCUCGUCCUAUGUUGCCAGCACGUUAAGGUGGGAACUCAUGGGAUACUGCCGGGGUCAACUCGGAGGAAGGUGGGGAUGACGUCAAAUCAUCAUGCCCCUUAUGUCUUGGGCUUCACGCAUGCUACAAUGGCCGGUACAGAGGGCUGCAAUACCGCAAGGUGGAGCGAAUCCCAAAAAGCCGGUCUCAGUUCGGAUUGAGGUCUGCAACUCGACCUCAUGAAGUCGGAGUCGCUAGUAAUCGUAGAUCAGCAACGCUACGGUGAAUACGUUCCCGGGCCUUGUACACACCGCCCGUCAAGUCACGAAAGUCGAUAACACCCGAAGCCGGUGGCCUAACCGCAAGGAGGGAGCCGUCGAAGGUGGGAUUGGUGAUUGGGACUAAGUCGUAACAAGGUAACC